CUGCAAGCUGGAGAGCACACUGAUGCCUUGUAGACAAGCUGCAUGAACCGGCUGAAAUCUCAGGUGGUGAAAGCACUGGACAAAAGGCGGUGAGAACUUUGGCUUUUCUCAAUCAAUAGAGGCCCGAAGGAGGGGCCUCUAUUGAUUGAAAAUUCAACAAGUUCUGGUCCACGGGGCCUGGGAAGAAACUGCUGGCUUCUAGUCAUUCAAAUCACUAAUUUGAAUAGUGAAGAAGUGAGACAGAUUAGAGAGGUAAUAGGAUGGGGAGACACAAUGGGGUGCGUGGGGGGGAGAGAGAGAGAGAGAGAGCGUGCACAGGGAUCAUUUAAAUAGACUAAUUGAGCCUAAUUUGACUAGCAGGAUCCAGAGACAGUGCAGAGAAUUGCCCUGAACUGAUCACAAUUUCUGAAAGCCAGACGCACUCAGCAGUUGUCCCAAGUAAUUACUGAUGUUCAUACCGCACAUUCGGGUUCCCGGAGCUCCUUUCUCCCACAUGAUUUCACAGAGUCCUUGCAAAUUGCAGCCAGAAGCAGGAGACCCAUUUUACCAAUAAGGAGACUACGGUUGAAAAUCCAAGGGCAAAGGGAAGCAGAACUGGAAGGCCCAGCAUCUGACAGGCUGAAGGAGUCUGAAACAGAAUUACCAGGGAUCCUCAAACCCAGCCCUUCUCCUCCCACUCUCAGCCCCUUUCCUGCCAAAAUGUUCAAGCCCAGCCCUGGCCUCAGCUCCUAGCACAAGCAGCCUGGGACCCAGCCAGCCAGCCCCUACCCAGGCUCCCUGGAUCACCUUUUGGAUGCACCUGCUUUCCCGCCUGAAGCCGGCUCAGCCCAGUCCCUGCAGCCAGCCUGGAGUUUCCAGAGCUCAUGCUGCCCCCUAGAGGUCAGCUCCUGCAGCUUUUCUUCUCAGUGUGGGACAGUCCCAGAGGGAAGGGGAUCAAAAGGCUGGGAAUGGCUCUGCUCCUGCACAUGGCACCUCUGGCCAACAAGCACCCAGAGCCCAGCUAGAACCCACUUGGGUGGCAGCACGUGCAAGCGAAAGGAUCUACCUAUUCGAGUGGCUCUGCCCCUCCCCUUGGCCUCCCUAUCUGUAAAAUGGGAAGCAUGAUGAUACCGCCCACACACAGCCUUUGAGAAAACUGACUGAUCACUGGACUAGUAGGAGAUAAUCAUCAUUGUGAUGAUCAUGGCUGUCAUACUGAGCACGUCCUAUGAGCCAGGUACUGUGCUUUGCAUACAUUAUCUCAUUAAAUCUUCCCGAAAAACAAACUUCUGAAGGAGGAACUAUUAGUAUCCUCAUUUUACACAUGAGAGCACUGAAACUCAGA
rnacentral:lncRNA from 1 species